GAUGAACGCUGGCGGCGUGCCUAAUACAUGCAAGUCGAGCGAACGGACGAGAAGCUUGCUUCUCUGAUGUUAGCGGCGGACGGGUGAGUAACACGUGGAUAACCUACCUAUAAGACUGGGAUAACUUCGGGAAACCGGAGCUAAUACCGGAUGAUAUUUUGAACCGCAUGGUUCAAAAGUGAAAGACGGUCUUGCUGUCACUUAUAGAUGGAUCCGCGCUGCAUUAGCUAGUUGGUAAGGUAACGGCUUACCAAGGCAACGAUGCAUAGCCGACCUGAGAGGGUGAGCGGCCACGCGGGAACUGAGACACGGCCCAGACUCCUACGGGAGGCAGCAGUAGGGAAUCUUCCGCAAUGGGGGAAAGCCUGACGGAGCAACGCCGGGUGGGUGAUGAAGGUCUUCGGAUCGUAAAACUCUUUUAUUAGGGAAGAACAUAUGUGUAAGUAACUGUGCACAUCUUGGCGGGACCUAAACAGAAAGCCACGGCUAACUACGG
rnacentral:rRNA from 1 species